UUUUUUUUUUUUUUUGUCUUUUGUCUUUUUAGGGCCACACCCUUGGCAUAUGGAGGUUCCCAGGCUAGGGGUCUAAUUGGAGCUAUGGUCGCCGGCCUAUGCUGUGCCACAGCAACUCGGGAUCUGAGCCGUGUCUGCCAUCUACAGUACAGCUCACGGCAAAGCUGGAUCCCUAACCCAUUGAGCAAGUCCAGGGAUGGAUCCCACGUCCUCAUGGAUACUAGUCAGGUUUGUUAACCACUGAGCCAUGACAGGCACUUCCUUUGUAUUAUAGCAUGUUUAUUUCCUAUUGGUCCAAGUAGUUUUUCUUUUCUUUUUUUCUCCACUUUUUAAUUAUGUUUGAAUAAGGAGAAAUUUAUCUAGCCUUGGAAUUUGUCAACAGGGCACACAGCCUGUCCUUAGUGAGCCGAUAAACUCACUUCUCAGAUCUAUAGUUAAAAUGUAGGUUGAAAUGCCUAGCUCCUACUUCACUUUACACUGAACAGAAGAGUUUUGUGUAGUAUGGCUUUAAUCCUAUCACCCUUCUUUAUUCUUUAACAGGCCGCAAUGAUGCUAUAAAUGAACAACUACCAUUUUCAACAUCUUCACUAUUUUUGGAACCCUUUCCUUGUUAUCCCUUCCCACAAACUUUCUAAUAGUUAAUCAUCACCCUAACACCACCUUCAAUUUCUGUCUUGUUUUCUGAGACCAAGUCACUACUUAGAUAUAUGAAGAUAGGGAGUAGGGAAGAAAAAGUACUCUAGCCACUUCAAACAGAAAGAAGCUUCACCAGGUGAAAAUAUGGCUGGCCAGUUUUGUAGUUAGUGUGAACUUUUUGAGCCAUGAUAUAGACCAACACUGUCCAAAUAUAAAGAAAGCUACAAAUGCAAGCCAUGUAUGUAUUUUAAAUUUUCUAGUAGCCACAUUGAAAAAUUGCUCAGUAGUCACAUGUGGCUGGUGGCUACAGUACUGGAGAAUGCAGGCUCCAAUAAUCAGGGAGUGUUAUGGAAGUCUCAAUGCCUAUGUUUAUCUUCAGGGGAUUUUUUUUUUUUAAUGAGUGAAGACUGGUUGAGUUAACUGUUUUUCCUCAUCCUAUGUCUUCACUCUCAUGGAAGGAACUAAAACCUCUGACUAUAUUCUAUAAAUAGAUUCAUUAUCAAUCUUAAUUUUUAGUGUUAUGAUUUUUUAUCUUUAUAUACUCAUAAGUGUUUUGUUGAAAAAUUGGGAGAUUGUUACCUAGACAUCAUCCUAAACUCUAAAUCAGAAAAAUUAAUUUUAAACAUAAUUUGUUCCCAUUAGGACAUCAAACAAGCUUUAAAACAACUGAGAAAAAUCCACCCUUUAAAAUAAAUUCAAAGCCCCUUGCAUGAUAAAAAUUCAUGAUAGCACAAUAUCUUUUCUGUAAUUUUUGUGUUUAUAACAAAACUGUGUGUUUGGACAGACUUUAAGUUGUUGCUCUCAAUUUGUAUUUUCUCUUUGGAGAGAUGAUGUGCAGUCAUGCAUCUAAAGCUUUCGCAGGAAGCUGAAAAAUGUUCCCAUUCUCUCCAUUUGUUUACCAAACAUGCUGCUCCACAGAAAACUAAACAAUCCUGAUGUUUCUGUUUCCAAAAGUGGCUAUUUUACAAGAAUGUGAUUAUCUUAGAAAGACAAUCCUGUUCUUUUAAAUGGUCAAGACUAACUAUCCUUUCUCUGCAUUAAGUUGACAAAAUUCAUACUCAAAAUUUCUGUAGUUGACAUCUUCCUUUUUAAUGGACAACCUUGGCAAUUUUUCUUCUGUUAUGACUUUAUAUUAAAAUGACCAAAACUCAAAAUGCAGAGAACUCAGGAAUAAAAUCAUAAAAGAAAUAUCAAGACUUGAGAUGCAUGCAAUAUAAAAACCUACAGUUGAUUCCUAAUACUAAGACUACUAUUUCAGAGAUGAGAAUUCUGUAAUAUGGCUUUUUUUACAAUAAUUAUAGUAUUAGUAUUUUUUCAAAAGAAUACCAAACUUAAUUAUCAAAAAUUUUAAUGCAUAUUUAGCAUUUUUGAUAUUGAAAUUUAGUAUUUUUUGAAAAAUUAAUUGAUUAAACAAAGCCAAAUUUGACUACAUUUUUGGAAACUUGAACAAGAUCUUUUUAAAAAGUGUUAUUGAAGUAUAGUUGAUUUACAAUGUUCUGAUAAAUUCUGCUGUACAACAAAGUGAUUCAGUUACACAUAAUCACAAAUCCAUUCUUUUUCAUUCCUUUCUAUAUAGGUUAUCACGGGAUAUGCAGUAGAGUUCCCUGUGCUAUACAGCAGGUCUCUAUUGAUAAUCUAUUCCAUAUCCAAAGUGUGCAAAUACCCAUCCAAACUCCCAACUGGACAUAAUAUCUUAUACACACAAAACACUAAAAGCUUUUAAAACAAAAAUACCAUUAGUGCUUUAAAAAUACUUAUAUUAGUGCAAUAAUGUAUACUUGUUCAUCCAUGAUGUAAAGGCGAAAGAAUCUUAAAAUUUUUGAAGAGGAGAAAGGUUUGGAAAGCUUGUUUACUUUUGAAAUUUUUAGUGACAUCACUACAUAUUCAAAUGGGACAGAAUACAGAAUUCCAUCAAUAUCUUCUAUUAAUUUAGUGCUGCUUUACUUAAUUUUGUAGGCAACACUUGUCCACAUGUCACAUUACUAAAAAUUAUAAAUUGUUUUUAGUUAGCAUGUGCCUGGUGCUCUUCAAAAGAAAAUGUUACAGAGUUCCCAUCAUGGCUCAGCAGAAUUGGAUCUGACUAGUAUCCAUGAAGAUGUGGGUUCAAUCCCUGGCCUUGCUCAGUGGGUUGGGGAUCCAGUGUUACUGUGAACUGUGGUGUAGGUCACAGACAUGGCUCGAUCAUGCACUGUUGUGGCUGUGGUGUAGGCUGGCAGCUGUAGCUCAGAUUAGACCCUAACCUGAGAACUUCCAUAUACCGCUGGUAUGGUCCUAAAAAAAAAAAAACAAAACAAAGAAUAAAUUAAUUGAAUGACAAUAAAAGUAAAGUAACAUGAAAUAAUGGUCCUCAUUUUUAGUUUUUAAAGCUAUCUAAGGAUGAAAAGAAUGAGAAGAAAUCAACACCUUCCAUAACCAUUCCUUCAGCACUUGACUUUGUUCAGAAUGUGAGCACAUCUCUAAUAUUGUUUGUUUUAAAUUGGUUCAGUUGGUGCAUUCUGUUUACUUUGAACAUCUUGGAAUUCCAAAUCUGUAAACUGCAUUCCAACCAAACAGCAAUAUACCCUUCAUAGAGUAAAAUCUCUCCAAGAAAAAUGAGAUUAGCUCAUUUUAGUGAGAGAUAAGUUCAUGAAGACACUUGAAGGUUGAUGGAAUGUCUGGAGUCAGAGUUCUUUUCAAGUACCUUGAGUUCAAUGAUUUAAUUUAAAUUAAUUUAAUUCAAUGCCCACUUAUUGAACAUCUCCUAUGAGCAAGACACUUUGGGGAUACAGAUAGGUAUAAGUUGCUGCCACUAAGAAACUCAUGAUGCUAAAGAGUAAACAUAUCCACUGUUAAAUAUACCAGAAGGAAGAAUAUGGUUCGUUCUCGGAACACAGAGGAGGGAUAAGUCAAAUUGAGGCCAGGAGACUGGGAAGAAUUCAUGUUCAGUACUGCAGCAGUCAUCAUGUGCCUACUAGGGAGAUAUUACUGAUGCGGAGACAGGCAGAGCAGAAAAGCAGCAAGAGUUUGUGGGUCCUUGAUGAUAUCUUUGAACCACUAACAUCCCAGAAACUGCCUACCUCUGGACUUUUUUUUUUUUUUUUUUUUUCCUUUUUCACUGGACCCACAGGAUAUGGAAGCUCCUGGGCCAGGGAUGGAAACCAAGACAAAGCUGUGACCUACGCCACAGCUGCAGCAAUGGCAGAUCCUUAACCCACUGCACCGGGCUAGGGAUCAAACCAGCAAUGCCAGAGACAAGCCAGAUCAUUAAUCCACUGUGCCACGGCAGGAACUCCUGGUCUUCUCUCUUGAUUAGGAAAAGUUUAAGGUAACACCACUUUCAGGCCAUCAUUCUUGCUGAAAUCAUCUUUUAUGUUAGGGCCCAGAAAUCUGGCUGAGACAUAAGAAGAGGCUGAAUGAAGCUUACAUGUUGCAAUGGGAAUAGACAGGUAGGACCAAAUGCAAAAAGCUGGAAAGAGAGGAAUCUGUGUUUCUGAAUAUGGAAGGUUGGGGAGAAGGAGAAGUCAGAGACAUCUGCUUGAAUGUUUACAUGACUACUGUCCAUCUCAAUUGGAAUGAAAGAGCUGGAAGAGGGUUGAGGGGGGAGAGCACUGAGUAUAAUUUUGGUCUUGAGUUAGAAAACCAAGAAAAAAUUAACUCUGAACCAAAUGGUACCUUAGUUUUAUGAGGAAAUCAGCAUGACUGUUUCCCCAAUGGGUUAAGUAUGCCUUGUUCACUCCAUACCAAAGUUACAUUUAGCCAAAGUUGACUUUAAUAUCGCACAGAAAUCACUGGUCUGCUUCUUCCUGUUUGAGCCAAGCAGUUCCAAUAAACAUAUAGUCUGCUUUCUUCUGAAAUCUGACUAAACUGAGAACAAAAAAAUAAAAGGUGUUUAGAUCCACAAAGGCCAAGAGAAUGGGCUCCCUUUCUCGGGAGGCUAUGGAGCAAUGCUAACCAGCAAAAUGAGGGAAUGAUUCAAGAGGACAAUGUUGGGUUCUUGAAUUAAGGCACCCAGCACAGAAAAGAGGUGAAGGAAAUUCCUAGGAUGAUGAGAAUGGAUGAUAGCAACAAGCCUAAAGAAAAGCAGCUAGUAUAGCCUCGAGCUAGAAGUUACAAACAGGAGGAAAGUUCGGGGGGGUAGAUGGGGGUGUUUCUAAUGUAACCUCCAAUGAAUCUGUAGUCUUAUGCACCCAAGAAAAAGAGAAGAACUAGUAUGAUUAUAACACCAGCCAAUCUUUAUGAGUGCCCAAAGCUGAAGAGUCAAGUUAUAGCCGUCAAAGCUUACACAGAGGAGAAUAAACAAGGAGUUGAAGGCAACUGGCCUGGGGAGCUGGAAUCAAAAGUAAGGAAGAGGGCACCAGGAACUGCUCUACAAUUUAUUGUAAUAACAAUUCCAGAACAAUUUGCUCUUUUAAUCAUACAAACUAAUCAUACAAAUAAUUUUAACGAAAAUAAAAAUUUUAAAGAAAACGAAAAGGUGAGUAACCCACCCAGAGAACUUACUCAGAAGAAUAGAUUACAGCCACCCCACUGAUGGAACCCUUUAUUCAAUGAAUUCUAUCCUUCCACUCUGUUUCUGGCUAGCCUAGUGAUUUAGCAUAAAUUCUGAUCUCCCCUUCCUGGCAAAUCUUACUAGAGCAGGCUAAACAAUGGAGAACCCCUUGGAGGGACACAAGAAAGAUUUAUUUCCUGAAAACAGCUGAGCCACAGUCUCUCAUAGUAUGGGUGACAAAAACACACUUUAAAUCUCUAUUCAAAAUUAUGAUUUACAUUUUUGAUCCAAGUAUUCUGGUCAGUGUAAAUAAUUCUGGGAAUUAAAUCAGAGCUAGUUUGAACUGGAUAAGCAUUUGCUAAGUCACUGUAAGUUCUUAAGAAUAUGUGAAAGCCACGUUGUACACAAUUAAAAUAUUAAAUUACACAUGAAUAGAACCUCUUUGACUCUUUAAAAAAUAACACAUGGAAAUUUAUCUUCUUCCAUGAAGGGAUGUAAAAAGGCUGCCAAAAGGAAAAAGGGAAGAUUUUCAUUUGUAAAUACUGCCUCUAGUAUUAGAAAUCUAAAAUUAAAGAGAAGUAAUGCAACAUUAAGUCAACCAGUCCAAUACCCUUUAUUCGCAGAUAGAGGAGCAGAGGUCCAGGAAGGCAAAAUGACUUGCUUAGCACAAACAAACAAACAAACAAACAAAAACAAAAAACACUAUGGAAAGGCAGAGAAAAUGACCAAAACCUGACUUCCAAUCUAUUGUCAAUGCCCCUUAAGUGUGGUUCAGUUACCUUUGCUGACAGGACAUGCUAUUGCCAGGCUGGAGGAUGGGGCUCCUGGCACAAAGUGCCCAUGAAGGUGGGCUUUUCAACCAGGCAGCAAGUAAAGUGCAGAACAAGGGCUGAGCUAAUGCACUGCACACAAUGCGACUCAGACCUGUGUCAGGAGGAAAAUUCACAGGUUUUUCAAAAGACAGUAAAGUGCUUGGAAGCUUGUUUUAAAGGAUUGGAACGCUCCUACAUCUUUUCUGUUCCUUUCAUGUGCACAGUAAAAGAGCAGAGGUAUUCUAUUUCCAUGUAGGUUUUUGAGCGUGAGACCAAGAAAGCUACUGAUGUGAAUCUACUCUUCAGUGACACAGCACUUCAACAAGCCAUCACUAGCACAAGCCGGGAUGAUGGCCAUUUGACCCUCCUUCUUAGGUAUUUGACAUCAGCUUCAAGACAGCCUCUCCCCAAAUGUGAGUUUCAAACGUUGCUUGUAGACACGCUCCAAUGAAGGAAAUCAGCAGUUGCAAUGUGUACAUAUCCUCCACACUUUUUUCCAAUGUAC
rnacentral:lncRNA from 1 species